GGAGGGGGGCAAGCGUUGUUCGGAAUUACUGGGGGGCGUAAAGGGGCGCGUAGGCGGGAAGAUCGAGUCAGGGGUGAAAGGCCUGGGCUCAACCCGGGAACUGCCUUUGAAACUGGUUUCUAGAGUACGGGAGAGGAUGGCGGAAUUCCCAGUGUAGAGGUGAAAUUCGUAGAUAUUGGGAAGAACACCGGUGGCGAAGGCGGCCAUCUGGCCCGGUACUGACGCUAAGGCGCGAAAGCGUGGGGAGCAAACAGGAUUAGAUACCCUGGUAGUCCACGCCGUAAACGAUGUGUGCUAGCCGUUGGGGCUUCAGGUCUCGGUGGCGCAGCUAACGCGUUAAGCACACCGCCUGGGGAGUACGGCCGCAAGGUUA
rnacentral:rRNA from 1 species